AUGAUUAUCGACUCAGGAGCAAGUUGUAACAUUAUCGGGAUGCCGUUAUGGAACAGUCUGAAGGACAAGCGCAUUGAAUGUGUUUCAUCCAAAUCUGACAAGCAACUCUUCGCUUAUGGAAGUAAAGAGCCCCUGAAGAAGUCACAGGAUAUUGUAGACGACUACGUUAGGUUUGAAGCUGAAGAAGCAACACCGAUUGCUAUGACAACUCGCGACAUUGAAAGAGCGUCUGAGAAAGACCCAGAACUUUGUUCGGUUAGACAAUGUCCUGUAAAUCAGCAGUGGCAUCGCAUCGAGUUCAAGCAAUAUUUGCCAAUACGGAGCGAAUUGUGUUCGAUUUGA
rnacentral:sRNA from 1 species